rnacentral:lncRNA from 1 species
UGUACUUCCAAGAGGGAUGAGAAACUCUUAGAUUACAAGCUUGGAUCCAACUUGGAUAUUACACACUAAGAAGAAAACAAGUUGAAAAGAUAUUACACACUUUUCAGAUCAAACAAGUAAAGAGAGAGUUUUAGACUAAAAUGUUUGAUGUUUUGCAAAUGAGAGAUACAUGGAGUUUAGAUAAAGAAGGGAGGACGAAGGAGAGGAGAGAAGACAAGAGAAAACAUGCAAGACCAUGCACAAGUGUCUUGUAAAUUACACUCAUGCAAGCUCAUGCAAGAGUAUUGUAAAUAACAACAAGUAAUAAAUGCAAAGUUUGAAGAGAAAAGGGAAAAUGGGCCAAGGCUUUGUGAGUGGGCCUUGGCUCACGAAUUGGAUUAAUAAAGGGGCUUGAAAAUGUUACUUAAGCCUCAUUAAAAACCUUGUCAAGAAAACCCAUUGGGACAAAACUUGACAAGGGAAAAAGAGUGCAUAAGCAACACUUAACCCUUUACCGAUCCUCUUGAGCCGUGAUCACUAUGAGUGAGGAUUGAACGACGUCUUCUUGAGUCUUGUUUAGCUCCUUUAGAAGUCCAUUGAUGGCUUGGUUGAACUUCUUAUAUCUUGAUCGUGUUAGAGGACCCGCCGGGAUGAUCAAUGCUUCCUCCGGUACAAGCUGUUCUUCGUGUG